AGUGGAAGUUGAUUGGACAUGCAGGAUUAACAUUUAUGAAGCGAAUGUUACUUUACUUAAGGUAUAUAAACGUCUGCAUUUCAGCUUCAGUACUGAAUACUCCGAAUCGUACGAGUAACGACAAAGAUACGAGAUGCACACCAAACAGUUGAUGUGUUUGUUGGUGGUGGCCGCUGUGCUUCUGGCGAGUGCUCCGGUAGCAGACGCCACAUACAGAUAUAGCGGAUCGAGCGACUCUAGUGACAGUGACGAUUAUAAUGGCGGAUGGGGACGCCCUGCCGGAUGGAGACGCGGAUUGGGACGCAAAUGGGGUGGCAAUGGUGGAUACGGAGGCACCUAUUAUGGAAAAUAAAUAUGGCGUAGUUUUUCUUUAAGAAAAGCGCAUCCUCCUAGACAAAAAUGGGUUACACAUACAACACAUGUGAUUGACUUCCAUUUGUUGUUGUACAAAACAGUACAUAAACUAAGUUGCAAAUGGACUUGGUAGUUUUUAUUUCAUAGCGUUCAUUGUUAAAAAAAAAACGGGAAUACAGUUUCAUCGAAAAUAUAGACGUUGUUUAGUUAUAAAUUAUGUAAUAUCUUGACAAAAUUAAAACAAUUAUAUAUUC